ensembl:lncRNA
GGCAUAUUGGAAUAUCAGACUAAACCACAAUGACAGAAAUAGCCCAUUGACAUGCUAGAUUCCCAUUAAGAGCAUACACGGCUACAGCUAAUUUCCUAUGGCUAGUGGGGGAUUCUAGGGGGCAGUAAUCAUUCUGUCAAGAUGCUGAGAUUGUCAAAGAUGUCUCUUUCUAGCUGGAGAAAAGAAAGAGAGGGAAAUCUUGGCUGAUUAUUAUUUCAGUUAACAUAUUGUUAUUGUGUGUCCCAAGCCCUAGGCUACACAUUGUAGGGAGACAGAAAGGGUCUCAAUACCAAUAACAAAGACUUCAAGUACUUCUAUAUAGAGUCAUAGACUUGUAAAGCUGGAAACCACCUGCCUCAGUGGUUCUCAGCCCAUGAAUUUUAACCCACACAUUAAAAUCGCCUGCCAGGAUUUAAAAGCUAUCAUGCCUGGGACUCACUCCUGACCAUUCAAAUCAGAUUCUUAAAGAUAUAUUCUAUGUAUAUACUAGAGCUCCCCAGAUGAUUUUAAUGUCAACCAGGGUGGAAAACCACUUAUUCAUCCAACACCCUUAUUUUAUGGGUGAGAAAACUUAAGACUCAGAAAGUCACUCCCCUGUGACAAAGGGACACCUAGAAUCAAUCCUCUGGACCCCCGGGCCAGUUGACAGGCUCAGGCUUCAUGCCAAAUGAUAUUGACACCAGUCAUGCUAGAGGGACACAGAAGAGGAAGUGGUGCAUAGAAGGAUGCCACACUGGAGCUGGACUUGGAAAUCCAGGAAAAGACUGUCUACCCCAGCAAUAAAGC